GCGGGGGGUGUACGGAGGGGGGGAGCAGCAGCGCAGUAGAGCGUGUAUAUGAUAUGUAUGUUAUUUCUGUGUUUGUGCGCUCGCUCUGUUCUUUCCUUUCUUUGUUUGAGUGAGAGGUGGGAAAAAGAAGAAGAAGACAGAAUAUAAGGAGACUGUGAGGAGGAGAAACACAGACGAGAAGAGGAGGAGGAGGAGGAGGAGACCGGGAGGAUUUGACUUUUAUUUUUGCAGAAAGGAUUUCUAAUUUUUUGCUUCUUCCCCUCGCGGUGUCUGCUCUGCACAAAAAAAGACGUAGGAAGUGUCAUGGUGGCCCAGAAGUCCUGAGAAUCAGCCCACAAAUCAGAGUAAGACCUUUCUUCUUGUCCUUGUCCUGUUUUCUUUGACGAACAAGAACAUGCUGACAACCAGGAAAAAUUACGAAAGUAAAACGUUACGUAAUGUUGU
rnacentral:lncRNA from 1 species